rnacentral:rRNA from 1 species
GGUCAUUUCACUGUGAGUUGCCCUCAAGCUGUUUGUCAACGAUGCAAGAAAAAUGGGCAUCUAUACAUUAUCUGUAAGGAGUUCAUACCGUGGGAGUGUUUGCCUGUUAUGUGUGCUUUCCAAUCUAAGGGGCAAGGGUUCCAUUUCAUUCCUGACACGAACAUUGAUAGGCAAGCUAGAGAGCGCAUCUACAAUAUCGUUGUUACUAUCAUAGAGGGCUCUGCUCCCAGUAAGGAUAUUGAACAUGAGCUUAGUGUCUAUGUUGGGCAAGGCUGGCGCUGCUCUGCUAGGUUUUUUGCUCCACAAAAAUUUGUUAUGAGAAUGCCUAAUCCCAGGGAGGUGGAUCGUGCUCUGUUUGUUGAAUUCAUUAAGCUCAAAAAGUGCGGUGUGAGUGUCAAAUUCUCCCCCUGGUCUAAAGAUGUGGAUGCUGAAGGGCUCCUUGAGAUAGCCUGGGUUAGGAUUGGGAAAAUACCACCUAACAAGCGUAAUGAUAAAACUGUGGCUUAUGUUGGGGGC